UCCCACUGAUGCCUGCGGACCCUCUGGUGGCACAGCCUUGUCUGGACAAAGUGGACUUCCUGGGAGCACCUCUGUGUGUGGUUUGUAUGUUAUUUAAUAAAGCUUAUAAUUAGAACAACUGAGUGUGAAAAUGUGUUUCCUAGAAUCACUGAUUUAACUAGCCCAAGUGAACUUGGAAAGCCUCAGAGAUCCUUGGUUAUCAUGGUUAUUUCCAUUCAUGGGCAUCUUCAAAAUGCAUGAUUUCAGUAUGACUUUGUUGUAUUAGAUGAUGUCACUGUAUGUUAGUGAAUAGGGUGUGGACUGGUAAGUUCAUUGCCAUAGGAAACCCCUUCUACCAAUGCAGGUGGGCACCUUCUCUGCACCUUACCCCAGAGCAGGGGGGUGGGGUUUGCACAGCUAGUAUGGUGCAGGGACAGGACUGAAUCAGACCUUUCUGUUCUCAAGGCUGGUGGCUUUCUGUCCCCUACUCCAUGCUGCCUUUCAGAUGCCUAUUAGGGACAUUAAAAAUGAAUCAAUUGUACCUUCCUCUUCCUGAAUUGAGGAGCCAUUCUAAAACAAAAGCUACAGUUUAUCAAUGACAUUUUCAACCUGAAUAUUUAAAAGUUGAUAUGACACAAGGUAGGUCGUGAGACACAGAGCCUUCCUUAAGCCAGGAAGACCUGGGCUCAAGACCUUGCUCAGACCAUUCUGGCUUUGUGACUCUAGGCUGGGCACUUAAACCUCUCAGGGCUCCCUGGUAAAUCUAGGACCCUGAAGUUGGAGACCAGUUGCUGAUUUAUCAUUGCUUACUUACCUGGCCUGCCCUAUACCAAUGAAGGUAUCAUUUUAGGCUAAAAGAAAAUGAAGACUCCCAACCCCCAAACCUUUCAGUGUUUAUUUUUCACCUGGACUAAUGUUUGAGGAUAUUCAGGAAAUCAGUCAGCAUUGCUUAGUAUGUCUUAGCUGGAUAAAGAAAUGAUUCCUUUAGAAAUGCAGCACUUAACUCUUCCAUUCAAAUACUAAGUGAGCUGAUACUGCCUCUUAAUAUGGUUCGUUUUCUCUUCCCUCCCACCCACCCAUACUGAAGAUGUUUUCCUUGUUCUUGCCUUUCUACCCUUUUCCACAGUUGGUUUCCAUAAUUGUUUUGAAGUAAGGAGGCUUUCUUUUAAACUUCCCACAGUGUCAGAUAUCACCAGGGCCUGUGAGAAUUAUUGACAAAAAAGACCUUGAACAAAUCUCUUCAAGUCACCACCCCCUCAGUGCUGGGGGGAAAAAAAUCCUGAAAUCAUUUCAUCUGUAACAUGACUGCCAUUAAUAGUUUACAGCAGAUAUUGAUAAAGUGCCCACUCUUUAUGCCCCAAAUAUUUUACCAAUUUUGUAGACAUUUUGAAUGGUAUUUCCACUUAUUAUUUCCUUUUUAUUUUGUUAUACUAUGCAGUACAGAGAAAUGCUGUUGAUUUUUGUGGGUUUAUUUGGUAAAUUUCUACGUAAUUCUAUGCAUUUCUUGGCUCAUAGCAAGCAGCAUAAGAAAAUGAGAAGAUAGGAUGUUGUUCUUGCUAUCAUAUAGGCUUUAGUAGAAAUGUAUCUUUUUUAAUCAGAUGUAGAAUUGAUUGUGAAAACAGCAAAGUGAUAUAAGAAGUUGGUGACAGGUAGCAUCAAGGAGGGUUUCCAUGAAGGAUGGCAUUGAGGGCCAGGCCUUGGAGGAUGAGUAGAAUUUCAGAGACAAGGGGAAGGCAUGCUUCUCUGGAAAUCAAACAUUGUUCCUGUUAUUUUCUGUAACCUUAUUCUGUAUUUCAUAUAACAACCUAAGCCUCUUCUUUGUUUCUCAAGAGGUUCAUGAGUUUAAAAGUUCUGUGUUCCUCUCUCAAGGUAGAUGUCAAAGUUUUGUCUUCCUAUCUAUAGCUUUUUUAAUUAAAGAAAAACUGAGCUAGGUUUAGAGGUUCAAUACACUUAUAAAAACUUUAAUUCUAGGGGAAUUGUUAUCUUAGCAAUACCUGCAAAUCACUUUGUGCCAAGGAAACUUGUUAUCUCUCAUCACUUUAGCUCCUGAGAAAGUCUGUGACAUCUGUCUGCUAUCCUUGAGAACACAGAAGCCGACCUGGCCCCAUCUCACUCAGGGUCUAAAGUGAUAUUCCUAGACACUGGAUACUUCAUUUCCCACCUUCCCACCAGCCUUUCCAUAGGCUAUGGCCAUGCCUGGGACAAGGUAGUUGCUUAAUAAAUGCUUGUUGGCCCACUAGUUGCCAUUGAUGAUUGUAGCAGUGUUUUAAUGAUGUCUAUUGGCCAGAAGAGAUAUUAAAGGUUUCUGAAAUACUUAGGCUGAACAGGGAAGAAUAGCUCAAGGACAGCAUUAUAUUGUACCAUACUUUGAUAUUACAGUCUGAGUCUGCCAUGUCAUGUCUACCUCCUACUAAUAAAUUGCAAAUUAUUCCAACUUUAA